GAGACAGAGCGAGCGAGCUGGGGAGGGGCAGAGAGAGACAGGGAAACACAGAAUCUGAAGCAGGUACCGAGCUGUCAGCACAGAGCCGGACAGGGAGCUUGAACUGUGAGAUCAUGACCUGAGCUGAAGUCGGAUGCUUAAUUGACUGAGCCACCCAGGCACCCCCAUUUGGAAACAUUUUAUCUGGUUAAGAAGAUAGCAGAUGAUGCCUUGCAGACGUGUUGCAGCCAGUGAUCAAAGGAGGAAGUACUGAAGUAGGAAGACUCCUGAGAGAGUUAGUAAGGCAUUAUAGAGCCAGAAGCUCUGUCCUGGGCCUAAGAGAUUGGCUGAGGCAUUUAUUUAAAUCUGUAACUGUACCUGUGAUGUUUCAGCUUCUAUGGUAGAAUGUCAGGUCCACUUCAUAAAAUUGAGUCAUAAUCCAUUUUUUAUAUUUUCAGCCAGUGUUCUAUCCUGUCCCUGCCUCAUAUAGCUUAUAACGAUUCUUUAAAAAGCUUCUCAUCACUAACCAAGAUUGGCAUCCUCUAUAGUCCUAGCAGCAAGGUGUGCUGAGCCUGGAGGCCAGGCAGGCUGGGUUCACAUCUGCUCUGACAUUUGUGGCCUAGGGCAAGCUUACUCAGCCUCUGUGCACAUCUUAGCACAUCUGUAAAAUAGGUGAUGAUGCCUACUUUGAAUGAUGGUUUGGAGGUUGGAUCUGCAUAGGAAAAUUCAUGGCAUAUCCUUUCUCAUUAUGCUCAUUUAAAGGUAAAUUUGUGUCUUUUACUUAGGAUAUUUUCAUGUAUCUAUCCUGAGACUUAGUUUCCUGCUCCAUCAGCACUUUGCUGAUGAGGAAGGAGAAACUAUCUGAAAACCUGUGCUUAAAUAUGGGAGCAGUUUCAGAUUCUGCCGCCCACAGUUUUCAGGAAUUUGACAUUGAGUGAUCGUACAAGUGCAGAUUUCACAUUUCUGUUUCAUGUAGCUAAGCCAAGUAGUCUUACCUAUUUCUUGAACUAAAAAUGUUCUAAUACAAAAACAAGAAUGGGAACUUAAACUCAUCAAUAAAACUGCUAUCUUAGUUCAGGCUACUGUACCACACGCCACAGACUGGGUGACUUAAACAACAGACUUCUGUUUCUCAUGGUCCUGGAAGUUGGGAAGUCCACUGUGAAAGGUCGUGACAGAUUCAUUUUGGGAUGAAGGCCCUCUUCCUGGCUUCUGAAUAGCUGCCUUCUUGCGGUGUCCUCACAUGGUGGCAAGAGAGCUGAGGUGCAAAACAGUCUCCGGUUGAACAUUACUGUGUCUGUGAUGGGGCACCUGAUUGAAAUGCCUUCCAAAGCCAGGCAGGUACACAUAAUAAGUAAAGAGAAUAGGCCACUGCAGACCAGAGCAUGGCCCUCCGAGGAGAGCAGCUCAUACCCUGCCCUUCAAAAGGGCAAUACUGGGCUUUUGGGCAUUU